AACGAACGCUGGCGGCAUGCCUAACACAUGCAAGUCGAACGAGACCUUCGGGUCUAGUGGCGCACGGGUGCGUAACGCGUGGGAACCUGCCCUUAGGUUCGGAAUAACUCCCCGAAAGGGGUGCUAAUACCGGAUAAUGUCUUCGGACCAAAGAUUUAUCGCCUUUGGAUGGGCCCGCGUUGGAUUAGCUAGUUGGUAGGGUAAAAGCCUACCAAGGCGACGAUCCAUAGCUGGUCUGAGAGGAUGAUCAGCCACACUGGGACUGAGACACGGCCCAGACUCCUACGGGAGGCAGCAGUGGGGAAUAUUGGACAAUGGGCGAAAGCCUGAUCCAGCAAUGCCGCGUGAGUGAUGAAGGCCUUAGGGUUGUAAAGCUCUUUUACCCGGGAUGAUAAUCACAGUACCGGGAGAAUAAGCGCCGGCUAACUCCGUG
rnacentral:rRNA from 1 species